rnacentral:rRNA from 1 species
UACGAGGGGUGCAAGCGUUGCUCGGAAUUAUUGGGCGUAAAGGGUAGGUAGGUGGUCUCAUUUGUCAGGGGUGAAAGCCUUGGGCUUAACUCAAGAAGUGCCCCUGAAACGGUGAGACUGGAGUCCUGGAGAGGGUCGUGGAACUCCCGGUGUAGCGGUGAAAUGCGUAGAGAUCGGGAGGAACACCAGAGGCGAAGGCGGCGACCUGGACAGGUACUGACACUCAACUACGAAAGCGUGGGGAGCAAACAGG